CGAAAGCCUGACGGAGCAAUGCCGCGUGGAGGAUGAAAGCCUAUGGGUUGUAAACUCCUUUUCUCAGAGAAGAAAUUUUGACGGUAUCUGAGGAAUAAGCAUCGGCUAACUCCGUGCCAGCAGCCGCGGUAAUACGGGGGAUGCAAGUGUUAUCCGGAAUAAUUGGGCGUAAAGCGUCUGUAGGUGGUUGACCAAGUCUGUUGUUAAAAAUCAGGGCUUAACCCUGAUCCGGCAACAGAAACUAGUAAACUUGAGUACGGUAGGGGCAGAGGGAAUUCUCGGUGUAGUGGUGAAAUACGUAGAUAUCGAGAAGAACACCAAUAGCGAAAGCACUCUGCUGGGCCGAAACUGACAUUGAGAGACGAAAGCU
rnacentral:rRNA from 1 species